rnacentral:rRNA from 1 species
UACGGAGGAUGCGAGCGUUAUCCGGAUUUAUUGGGUUUAAAGGGUGCGCAGGCGGAGGUGCAAGUCAGCGGUCAAAUUGCGGGGCUCAACCCCGUACUGCCGUUGAAACUGCAUCCCUUGAGUGCGCGAGAAGUAUGCGGAAUGCGUGGUGUAGCGGUGAAAUGCAUAGAUAUACGGAGGAACACCAGUGGCGAAGGCGGAUUGCUGGACAGUAACUGACGCUGAGGCGCGAAAGCGUGGGGAGCAAACAGG